AUUGAACGCUGGCGGCAUGCUUUACACAUGCAAGUCGAACGGUAACAGGCCGCCAGGUGCUGACGAGUGGCGAACGGGUGCGUAAUGCAUCGGAACGUGCCCAGUCGUGGGGGAUAACUACUCGAAAGAGUAGCUAAUACCGCAUACGAUCUAUGGAUGAAAGCGGGGGACCGUAAGGCCUCGCGCGAUUGGAGCGGCCGAUGUCAGAUUAGGUAGUUGGUGGGGUAAAGGCUCACCAAGCCAACGAUCUGUAGCUGGUCUGAGAGGACGACCAGCCACACUGGGACUGAGACACGGCCCAGACUCCUACGGGAGGCAGCAGUGGGGAAUUUUGGACAAUGGGCGCAAGCCUGAUCCAGCAAUGCCGCGUGCAGGAAGAAGGCCCUCGGGUUGUAAACUGCUUUUGUACGGAACGAAACGGCUCUGGUUAAUACCCGGGGCUAAUGACGGUACCGUAAGAAUAAGCACCGGCUAACUACGUG
rnacentral:rRNA from 1 species